rnacentral:rRNA from 1 species
AGAGUUUGAUCCUGGCUCAGAUUCUUUGCUGGCGGCAGGCCUAACACAUGCAAGUCGAGCGGAUGAGUGGAGCUUGCUCCAUGAUUCAGCGGCGGACGGGUGAGUAAUGCCUAGGAAUCUGCCUGGUAGUGGGGGACAACGUUUCGAAAGGAACGCUAAUACCGCAUACGUCCUACGGGAGAAAGCAGGGGACCUUCGGGCCUUGCGCUAUCAGAUGAGCCUAGGUCGGAUUAGCUAGUAGGUGAGGUAAUGGCUCACCUAGGCGACGAUCCGUAACUGGUCUGAGAGGAUGAUCAGUCACACUGGAACUGAGACACGGUCCAGACUCCUACGGGAGGCAGCAGUGGGGAAUAUUGGACAAUGGGCGAAAGCCUGAUCCAGCCAUGCCGCGUGUGUGAAGAAGGUCUUCGGAUUGUAAAGCACUUUAAGUUGGGAGGAAGGGCAGUAAGUUAAUACCUUGCUGUUUUGACGUUACCAACAGAAUAAGCACCGGCUAACUUCGUGCCAGCAGCCGCGGUAAUACGAAGGGUGCAAGCGUUAAUCGGAAUUACUGGGCGUAAAGCGCGCGUAGGUGGUUCAGCAAGUUGGAGGUGAAAUCCCCGGGCUCAACCUGGGAACUGCCUCCAAAACUACUGAGCUAGAGUACGGUAGAGGGUAGUGGAAUUUCCUGUGUAGCGGUGAAAUGCGUAGAUAUAGGAAGGAACACCAGUGGCGAAGGCGGCUACCUGGACUGAUACUGACACUGAGGUGCGAAAGCGUGGGGAGCAAACA